rnacentral:rRNA from 1 species
CAGUCGCCGCGGGAAUACGUAGGGUGCAAGCGUUAAUCGGAAUUACUGGGCGUAAAGCGUGCGCAGGCGGUGUUGUAAGACUGAUGUGAAAUCCCCGGGCUCAACCUGGGAACUGCAUUGGUGACUGCAACGCUGGAGUGCGGCAGAGGGGGAUGGAAUUCCGCGUGUAGCAGUGAAAUGCGUAGAUAUGCGGAGGAACACCGAUGGCGAAGGCAAUCCCCUGGGCCUGCACUGACGCUCAUGCACGAAAGCGUGGGGAGCAAACAGGAUUAGAUACCCCCGUAGUCCCUGUCUCUUAACA